rnacentral:rRNA from 1 species
UACGAGUGCCCCAAGCGUUAUCCGGAAUCAUUGGGCGUAAAGGGUGUGUAGGUGGUUGUGUUAGUCUUCUGUAAAAUCCUUCGGCUUAACCGGGGUCCUGCAGAGGAAACGGCACAACUAGAGGAUGCGAGAGGUAAAUGGAACUCAUGGAGUAGGGGUGAAAUCCGUUGAUAUCAUGGGGAACACCAAAUGCGAAGGCAAUUUACUGGCGCACUCCUGACACUGAAACACGAAAGCGUAGGUAGCGAAUGGG